AACGGAGCAGCGCCUUCUCGUUGAGCUUUGUUCAAUUUUGCUCAGCAAGACUGCAUACAGCUCCAUCGAGUGGGAGAUAGAGAAGUGGGAAGGAAGAUGCUGUUCCAGCCACCAAAUGUCCAGAAGACAGAAGGCAAUUUUCCAAGCAUGGAUACUACCAGCAGCCCCUGUCCCAUUGGUUGUAAUUGGGAUAAAAACACAUGGAAUUGUUAAAAAUUGAUGGUAGGGAUCACAGU
rnacentral:lncRNA from 1 species